rnacentral:rRNA from 1 species
GUCUACGGCCAUACCACCCUGAACGCGCCCGAUCUCCUCUGAUCUCGGAAGCUAAGCAGGGUCGGGCCUGCUUAGUACUUGGAUGGGAAACUAAAUAGAACAAAGCUCACCCUUCAGAGAAAGUUCCCGCCGGCGAGC